rnacentral:rRNA from 1 species
CACUCCUACGGGAGGCAGCAGUGGGGAAUUUUACGCAAUGGGGGAAACCCUGACGUAGCGACACCGCGUGAGCGAAGAAGCCCUUUGGGGUGUAAAGCUCUGUCAGCUGGAACGAAAACAAUGACGGUACCAGCAGAGGAAGCAUCGGCUAACUACGUGCCAGCAGCCGCGGUAAGACGUAGGAUGCGAGCGUUGUCCGGAUUUAUUGGGCGUAAAGAGUUCGUAGGUGGUUUGUUAAGUUUGGUGUUAAAGAUCGGGGCUCAACCCUGGGACUGCACUGAAUACUGGCAGACUCGAGUGUGGUAGAGGCUAGUGGAAUUCCCAGUGUAGCGGUGAAAUGCGUAGAUAUUGGGAAGAACACCGGUGGCGUAGGCGACUAGCUGGGCCAUAACUGACGCUGAGGAACGAAAGCCAGGGGAGCGAAUGGGAUUAGAAACCCCUGUAGUCCC